GAUGAACGCUGGCGGCGUGCCUAAUACAUGCAAGUCGAGCGAAUGGAUUGAGAGCUUGCUCUUAUGAAGUUAGCGGCGGACGGGUGAGUAACACGUGGGCAACCUGCCCAUAAGACUGGGAUAACUCCGGGAAACCGGGGCUAAUACCGGAUAACAUUUUGAACCGCAUGGUUCGAAAUUGAAAGGCGGCUUCGGCUGUCACUUAUGGAUGGACCCGCGUCGCAUUAGCCAGUUGGUGAGGUAACGGCUCACCAAGGCAACGAUGCGUAGCCGACCUGAGAGGGUGAUCGGCCACACUGGGACUGAGACACGGCCCAGACUCCUACGGGAGGCAGCAGUAGGGAAUCUUCCGCAAUGGACGAAAGUCUGACGGAGCAACGCCGCGUGAGUGAUGAAGGCUUUCGGGUCGUAAAACUCUGUUGUUAGGGAAGAACAAGUGCUAGUUGAAUAAGCUGGCACCUUGACGGUACCUAACCAGAAAGCCACGGCUAACUACGUGCCAGCCGCCGCAGUAA
rnacentral:rRNA from 1 species